rnacentral:tRNA from 1 species
GGGGGAUUAGCUCAGCUGGGAGAGCGUUUGGCUGGCAGCCAAAAGGUCAGGGGUUCAAGUCCCCUAUCCUCCACUA